rnacentral:rRNA from 1 species
GAUGAACGCUGGCGGCGUGCUUAACACAUGCAAGUCGAACGGAAAGGCCCAAGCUUGCUUGGGUACUCGAGUGGCGAACGGGUGAGUAACACGUGGGUGAUCUGCCCUGCACUUCGGGAUAAGCCUGGGAAACUGGGUCUAAUACCGGAUAGGACCACAUUUUGGAUGGUGUGGUGGAAAGUUUUUCGGUGUGGGAUGAGCUCGCGGCCUAUCAGCUUGUUGGUGGGGUAAUGGCCUACCAAGGCGUCUACGGGUAGCCGGCCUGGGCGGGUGGACGGCCACCUUGGGACUGAGAUACGGCCCAGACUCCUACGGGGGGCCGCAGUGGGGAAUCUUGCACCAUGGGCGCGAGCCUGAUGCAGCGAAGCCGCGUGGGGGAUGACGGCCUUCGGGUUGUAAACUCCUUUCGCUAGGGACGAAGCGUUAUGUGACGGUACCUGGAGAAGAAGCACCGGCUAACUACGUG